GCGAUCAUACCAACACUAAUACACCGGAUUCUAUUAGAAUUCUGCAGUUAAGCGUAUUUGGGCAAGAGUAGUACUAGGAUGGAUGAUCUUUUGAAAAGUCCUUGUGUUGCACCCU